UUUAGCUUCAGUUAUAAACUAACGUCAAAAUGCAUUUUUGUUGUGGUAGAAACAUAUAAAUUGGAGACAAAAAAUUUCUAUUCAUAUAUCUUAUCAAAAGUAAAGUGUGUUAACAGAUUUCACUAAAAAAAAUAAAAUAAUAACAAUAUUACAUAUAAUACGUAACAAAACUUAGACUCUAUCCAUAGUGUUUAUAUCUAAGCUCUACUAGUAGAGUUAAUAAAUUAAAAAAUUCCUUAAAAGGAAAAUAAUAGUGUUCAUCCAUGGGCUAAAACAAAAAACGUGAAAUGAAAACUUCAUUUAAGCUAACACCAAUUAGGACACCACAUUAAAUAAGGCACUUCAUGUUAUUUUCUCAUACUAUCGAGAGUUAAGCUGUAUCUAUACGUCCACCAUUUUCAAUACCUAAUUUUUUUAGAAAAAAAAUUAUCCUUACGAUUUUCAAUACUCCCAAUAAGUUUAUGCUGUUUGCAAAAUUAUUAAACAGCUAACAUUAAUAAUUUGGCUUGGCUCAACAUCCUCAGGGCAAGCACAGGCAAGGGGCUCGACAUCAAUAGUUAAAUCGACGAUAAGACGUGGGACGGCCAUGGGUGCUCUCGAUAAGUUUUCUUUCUUUCCUCUGGGAGGUGCACAAAGGUUGUUCGACGGGCAGCAGAAGGCAAGGGGCUGUUUGAUGGAGUGGCGGAGUGCCUGAGAGUGUGGCAGAACUAGAUUUUCCACAGAUCUAAUUUCGCUUAGUUUUUUUAAAUUAUUUUAUUUCUAACUGGUUUUUGUUUUUAGAUUUGAUUAUGUUUCGUAAAAAUUUGAUUGAAUGAGCGAUAAAAUUAUUUUGGGUUGAUUACAAUGUGUGCUUUGGCGUAUUGGAUAUAAACUGAAUUUUGUUUGGGUU